rnacentral:rRNA from 1 species
UACGAAGGGGGCUAGCGUUGCUCGGAAUCACUGGGCGUAAAGCGCACGUAGGCGGAUUGCUAAGUCAGGGGUGAAAUCCUGGAGCUCAACUCCAGAACUGCCUUUGAUACUGGCGACCUUGAGUCCGGGAGAGGUGAGUGGAACUGCGAGUGUAGAGGUGAAAUUCGUAGAUAUCGGGAAGAACACCCGUGGCGAAGGCGGCUCUCUGGGACGGUACUGACGCUGAGACGCGAAAGCGUGGGGAGCGAACAGG